ACCAGCCCGACGCGCCGCGCCGCGCCGCGCUCACCCUCCUGCUCCUCCCGGCCCCUCCUCAGGUUUGUGGCUCGGCGGAGUCAGGUGACCCGGCGCGGACAAACCGGGACGUGCGGUCCGCUAAGUGCCGUAAGGAGAGCCCCCCGCGCCGCGCUCUUAAAGGGGACACCCCGCAGCCUGCACCGCCAGCGCCCGGCCGCUCCCCGCCCCCAAGAUGUCUCCUAAUAAUGAGGGUUUUAACCUUGGAUCCUUUGCUUUUGGGGAGUUGAAAUGAGAUCUUUAUCUGAAUGGAACGUUUUGUGCUUUAAUACUCCGAUCAGAUCAGUGAUGAAGCAAUGUUUGGAUUAAUGACUCGCAAUUGAAAAAAUAUAAACAAGGCUAGAAUUUAUGUGAUUUUUUUCCUUUCAGUAGCCCUGCUUUAUGCUAAUAGCGGCUGUGAGAAACAAGAGCUGGAACAGUCACAGUUCAUUCUGUGGCCAUACCUUGUCUAUGCCUUCACCUCAUUCAGCACUUGAUUGAA